CCCCGGGGCCGCCUUCCCCCGGUCCCCGCCCGCCGGGGGCGCCCACACCCACGGGAUCGCGUUUGGGACAGCGGAGUCUUUCUGUUCCUCUUACCCCAAGCUUGUUUUAAACGUUCCGUGAAGAUACAAGGGGCUCACGCACCCCAGAUCUCCAGGAUGAUUUUUGCCAGGUGUGAUGUUUUGUAUAGCAAAGGCUAAUGCUGUGAGAGGGUCAGUUGGUAACAGAGCUGGACACCUCAGUGAUACACAUCUGCACAGUCGAGAAAGCUUUUAUGACAUUUGGAAAUGUUUCAAUGAAUUUUAUGGAUCACAACAAUCCCAGGUGGAAAAACAGGAAGACAGGC